GACGUAGGGCGCGAGCGUUGUCCGGAUUUAUUGGGCGUAAAGAGCUCGUAGGCGGCUUGGUAAGUCGGGUGUGAAACCUCCAGGCUCAACCUGGAGACGCCACUCGAUACUGCCAUGGCUAGAGUCCGGUAGGGGCCCACGGAAUUCCUGGUGUAGCGGUGAAAUGCGCAGAUAUCAGGAGGAACACCGGUGGCGAAGGCGGUGGGCUGGGCCGGAACUGACGCUGAGGAGCGAAAGCGUGGGGAGCGAACAGG
rnacentral:rRNA from 1 species